CCGCGAGUGACAUCAUGACAAUUGCUGUUUUCAGCCAUGAGGUGGCACUUUUGUUUUGUGAUACCCAAGCAAUCUGGACAGAUAAUGCUGAUUUGUACUUCUGUAUACAAAACUUGGAUGAAUCUAAAAAAACUUCAGUUCGCAACUGUAAAGCUGACUGUGAUGUUUAUAUUCCUGCAGUUUUCUCACCAUGAACCUGGUGUUACCCACGUCAUAGUAACAGGAGGAGCUGGUUAUAUUGGAUCACAUGCCUCUUUAAGGUUCUUCAAGGAUAACUAUCGAGUUACCAUUGUGAGGAAACAUGGGAGCAGUAAAGGUUCUUCAGGAGUUAUUUCCGCAGCCUGGGAGGCUACAAUUUAUCUUUGCUGUGAUCUGGGAGGCUACAAUCCAAAGUUUUGUUUUUCACUUAACUGGCUCCCAGGUCAACAAGAUAUUUGCUGAAAAUGCAUUUGAUUCUGUGAUGCACUUUGCUGCAGUUGCUUAUGUGGGUGAAAGCACACUGGAACCCCUUAGCUGUUUGAUAUAACGAGGGGACAAGGCAGGCAUGGCCAGUGACUGGUGGGAAAGCAUGCGACAUGUCAGACAUUGCCUGUCGACGCAACUUCGACUCCUACUCGGCGAGAGCUAUUUAGAGCGUUAUUCGGUUCGUUUGCAGUGAAUAAAAUG